GGGCCGUUAGCUCAGGUGGUAGAGCACCAGCCUUUUAAGCUGAGGGUCGCUGGUUCAAGUCCAGCACGGCUCACCA
rnacentral:tRNA from 1 species